UACGUAGGGGGCGAGCGUUGUCCGGAUUCAUUGGGCGUAAAGAGCUCGUAGGCGGUUCAGUAAGUCAGGUGUGAAAUCCUGGAGCUCAACUCCAGAACUGCCCUUGAUACUGGCGGUCUCGAGUCCGGGAGAGGUGAGUGGAACUGCGAGUGUAGAGGUGAAAUUCGUAGAUAUUCGCAAGAACACCAGUGGCGAAGGCGGCUCACUGGCCCGGUACUGACGCUGAGGUGCGAAAGCGUGGGGAGCAAACAGG
rnacentral:rRNA from 1 species